GACAGAGGGUGCAAACGUUGUUCGGAAUUACUGGGCGUAAAGCGCGUGUAGGCGGCCCGGAAAGUCGGAUGUGAAAGCCCUGGGCUUAACCUAGGAAGUGCAUUCGAAACUCUCGGGCUUGAGUUCUGGAGAGGAAGGCGGAAUUCUCGGUGUAGAGGUGAAAUUCGUAGAUAUCGAGAGGAACACCGGUGGCGAAGGCGGCCUUCUGGACAGUGACUGACGCUGAGACGCGAAAGCUAGGGGAGCAAACGGG
rnacentral:rRNA from 1 species